UACAGAGGGUGCAAGCGUUAAUCGGAAUUACUGGGCGUAAAGCGUGCGUAGACGGUUAUGUAAGUCGGGUGUGAAAGCCCCGGGCUCAACCUGGGAAUGCCAUUCAAGACUGCAUAGCUAGGGUGCGGAAGAGGGAAGCGGAAUUUCCGGUGUAGCGGUGAAAUGCGUAGAUAUCGGAAGGAACACCAGUGGCGAAAGCGGCUUCCUGGUCCAGCACCGACGUUCAGGCACGAAAGCGUGGGGAGCAAACAGG
rnacentral:rRNA from 1 species